rnacentral:rRNA from 1 species
AUUGAACGCUGGCGGCAGGCUUAACACAUGCAAGUCGAGCGGAGAGAGGUAGCUUGCUACUGAUCUUAGCGGCGGACGGGUGAGUAAUGCUUAGGAAUCUGCCUAUUAGUGGGGGACAACAUUUCGAAAGGAAUGCUAAUACCGCAUACGUCCUACGGGAGAAAGCAGGGGAUCUUCGGACCUUGCGCUAAUAGAUGAGCCUAAGUCGGAUUAGCUAGUUGGUGGGGUAAAGGCCUACCAAGGCGACGAUCUGUAGCGGGUCUGAGAGGAUGAUCCGCCACACUGGGACUGGGACACGGCCCAGACUCCUACGGGAGGCAGCAGUGGGGAAUAUUGGACAAUGGGCGGAAGCCUGAUCCAGCCAUGCCGCGUGUGUGAAGAAGGCCUUAUGGUUGUAAGGCACUUUAAGCGAGGAGGAGGCUACUUUAGUUAAUACCUAGAGAUAGUGGACGUUACUCGCAGAAUAAACGCCGGCUAACUCUGUGCCAGCCGCCGCGGUAA